rnacentral:rRNA from 1 species
UACGGGGGGAGCAAGCGUUGUUCGGAUUUACUGGGCGUAAAGGGCGCGUAGGCGGCGUAACAAGUCACUUGUGAAAUCUCCGGGCUUAACUCGGAGCGGUCAAGUGAUACUGUUGUGCUAGAGUGCGGAGGGGCUACUGGAAUUCUCGGUGUAGCGGUGAAAUGCGUAGAUAUCGAGAGGAACACCUGCGGCGAAGGCGGGUAGCUGGGCCGACACUGACGCUGAAGCGCGAAAGCUAGGGGAGCGAACGGG